CCUACGGGUGGCUGCAGUGGGGAAUAUUGGGCAAUGGGCGCAAGCCUGACCCAGCAACGCCGCGUGGAGGAAGAAGGCUUUCGGGUUGUAAACUUCUUUUCUGAGGGACGAAGAUAGUGACGGUACCUCAGGAAUAAGCCACGGCUAACUACGUGCCAGCAGCCGCAGUAAUACGGAGGUGGCAAGCGUUAUCCGGCUUUAUGGGGUGUAAAGGGCGUGUAGGCGGGAAAGCAAGUCAGAUGUGAAAACUCAGGGCUCAACCCUGGGACUGCAUUUGAAACUGUUUUUCUUGAGUGUUGGAGAGGCAAUCGGAAUUCUGGGUGUAGCGGUGAAAUGCGUAGAUAUACGGAGGAACACUAGUGGCGAAGGCGGAUUGCUGGACAGUAACUGACGCUGAGGUGCGAAAGCGUGGGGAGCAAACAGGAUUAGAUACCCUUGUAGUC
rnacentral:rRNA from 1 species